CCCACCAGCCCCCGGUGUUUUCUAUUCACCUUCUUGAGUCUUCUAGAUGAACAUGGAUGAGAAAACAGCUGGACUAUGUGUCUGCACGGCUGUUUUUCACAAGGGCACAGACUGUUAUAAGAUCCAGCCUUGAGUAUGCAAUGAAUUUGUGCACGCAUCACUAAGCCUGUUUUUAUUCUAACGCUGCAAGUGAAGUCCUAAGCUGCAGAAACUGUAGCACUCCCUGCAGUUUUCCACAGCAUAGAGAUUUCCUCAAGUGGGUUCUUUCCCAUUAUGCAGCCCCUAUGCAGUGAGAUCAUGAGGUGGGCAGCAAGAGAAAACAGUAUUUAAUUGGUUUUAGAAGGAUGCAAUAUAAAUAAAAUCUCCCUCCCUCAGCGUAAGCUUUAAAUGCAUCGACAUAAUCAAAACAUGAAGGGAUGAUGCUGCACCCCAAACAAGCCCACACUUCACUGGCUAAUUAAAUCAUUUUAAUCUAAUGAACAUAAGCGGUGAAAUAAAUGGGCUUAGCGAUGAGUCAGGAGCCAUCCGAUCUCAGUGGCUGCAGAGCCAGUUCCUCCAUGCUGGGACAAGCAAAACCUUUCCGGGGGAUCUUCAAGCGACGCCCUGUGCGCACUUUGGCCUCGGUUGAGGUUUGAGUAGGCGGCUUUCCCUGGCGGUCUCCCAAAGGAGUUCGACCUCCUCCGCACCUUCACCUUUUGCGUGAUGAAAGCCAGGUCCCAGAAACCAGAGAAGGCCAGGGAACAGAGCCCAGGUCUGGUAUGUUCUCCAGGGCAUUUCCCUGAUGACCCAGGGUUUAAUGGUAGCAGAUUAUUGAAGAAGGUGGGUCCCAGGUUCUUUGAUCUUGGUAGCCAUAGAAGGGAAAAGUUCACAGUGCUAGUCUAUAUUGUUUUAACAUGAGUUCAAAGGUAAGUAGUGAGUUGGAAAAGUGGUAUAGGCAUCAAUGUGGGUGUGGUCAAAGCUCACCUCUCACCUCCUACCUAAAAAUGCCCUACAUGGUGGGAUAUCCCAGUGAUUCCAAUAUUCUGGAAAUGGAGACAGGAGAUCCCUAGAGCCUGAUGUCCAGCCAGUCUAGCUGAAUUGUCAAGUUCCAGGUGCCAAUAAAGGACACUGUCUCAAAAAAAUCCAAGUGGGGUAGUGGUGGGGCUCAUGGGUAUUACAAACCCUUGGUGCAAGCCUGGCCACCUGACUUAGAACCUUGGAACCUGCAUAAAGAUGGAAAGAGAGUACCUAUUCUGUCUUUGUCUUCUGAUUUUCCACAGGCGCUAUGAUACACAUACACCCUACCAUACACAUACAAUAUAAUAAUUAUACAUUAAAAAUGCACAAGAUAGGGUUGGGGAUUUAGCUCAGUGGUAGAGUGCUUGCCUAGCAAGUGCAAGGUCCUGGGUUCAGUAUCCAGCUUAAAAAAAAAAAAAGUAAAAAUGCACAAGAUAGAUGGUUCCUGAGGAACUGCACAAAGGAGUACCUUUGACCAAUACUUACACAAUCAAGUCCUGACAUCUCUCUCCCACAAAUGAAUAUCUACUAUGAGGGUUAGAAGUGGUAAGGAGGCAAGAUUGGUUUCCUCUGUAUGGAAGGAUAUGCUUGAUUUUCUAGAUGCCUCUGUCGCAGGGGAUUCCCAUCUGUCACAGUAGAGGAAAGUCCCUUCUCACUGUUCGGGUUUCAGAGUGUGGGAAGAUUUCUCUCCUCAUUCUAGUUGUGGGGAGUCCCUUAUGACCCAUUAGGUACAAAGGCAAUAGGAGGGGAAAUUGGACUAAUGUUGCUAAAACAGCAUUUAUACUGUGGUGGACUCUGUCCUUGUCAUAGACACUCAGACUUUGCAGCUGGGAGGUCUGCUUUACUUGAAAGCAUGUUUCAGGUGGACCCUACCUCCUGUGCCAUUCCACCCAUAAAUCUUUCUUUCCCCUUCUUUUGGUGCGCAGGUAUACAUGUGUGUGCAGGUGUGUAGGUGUGCACCUGUGUAUAGAGGCCGAAGGACAACACGGGUGUCAUUCCUCAGUGGGGUUUGCCAAACUCUGAGGGGACAAGCCUGAUGGAGACCUCUAAUUUAGACACUCUGCAUAAUGUCUGGCUGUGGAUCUCUGCAACCUGCUGUCAUCUGCUGCCAGAGGAAGCCUCUCUUAUUACAACUGGACAAGGCGCAAUGUGGUGGAUUGCAUCGACUUGUUUUCGUAUGUUGAGACGUCCCUGCAUCUCUGGAAUGAUAUCUAUUUGAUCACCGUGGAUGACUUUUUUGAUGUGUUCUUGGAUUUGAUUUGCAAGUACCUAAUGAGUAGUUUUGCAUCUAUGUUUAUAUGAGAAAUUGGUCUGUAAUUUUCUUUCUUUGUUGAGUCUUUAUGUGGUUUGAGUAUCAGAGUAACUGUGACUUCAUAAAAUGAACUUGCCAAUAUAUGUUCUGUUUAUAUGUUGUGGAAUAAUUUGAGGAGUAUUCAUGUUAACUCUUUGAAAGUAUUCUGUGCUUAACUAUCUGGCCCUGAAUUUUUCUUUUCUUUUUUGGUUGGGAGCCUUUUAAUGACUGGUUCCACCUCCCUAGGUGUUAUAGGUCUAUUUAAAUUAUUUAUCUGAUCUUAACUUUGGUAAAUGGUACCAAUCAAAAUCUUUUAGAUUUUACAAUGUUGUGGAGUACAGAUUUUUGAAGUACGACCUAAUGAUUCUUUGGAUUUCUUAGGUGUCUUGCUGUUAUGGCCCAGUUUUCAUUUCUGGUUUUGUUAAUUUGGAUAUUCUCUCUCUGUCUUUUAGUUAGCUUCGAUAAGCAUUUGUCUAUCUUGUUGAUUUUCUCAAAGAACUAACUCUUUGUUUCAUCGAUUCUUUGUUUUGUUUGUUUCUAUUUUUUGGAUUUGAGCCCCCGGUUUGGUUAUUUCUUGCUGUCUACUCCUCUUGGGUUUGCUUGCUUCUUUUUAGUCUAGAUCUUUCAGGUGUGCUGUUAAGUUGUUAGUACAUGAUCUCUCCAAUUUCUUUAUGUCGGCACUUAGUGCUAUGAACUUUCCUCGUAGCAGUUUUUAUUUUGUUUCAUAUGUUUGGGUAUAUUGUGUAUUCAGUUCAUUGGAUUCUAGGAAGUCAUUAAUUUCUUUCUUUAUUUCUGUCUUGACCCCCUUUUCAUUCACUAGAAUUUUGUUCAAUUUUAUGAGUUUGUAAAUUUUCUGUUGUUCUGUUGUUAAUAUUCAGCUUUAGUCCAUGAUGGUAUGAUGGGAUGUAGGGAGUUAUUUUAAUUUUCCUUUAUCUACUAAGACUUUCUUUUUGACCAAGAAUAUGGUCAAUUUUGGAGAAAGUUCCAUGAGGUACUGAAAAGGUAUAUAUUCAUUUGUGUUUGGAUGAAAUGUUCUGUAAAUAUGUCCAUUUAUGUCCAUUUCAUUUACAAUGUCUGUUACUUCAAAUAUUUCUGUGUUUAGUUUUUGUCUGGAUGACCUGUCUGUUGGUAAGAAUGGGGAAUUGAAGUCUCCCAUUAUUAACGUGUGAGGUUCAGUAUAUUCUUUAAGCUGUAGUAGUGUUUCUUUUACAAAUGUGGCUGCUCUUAUGUUUGGGAAAUAGAUGUUAAGAACUGAAAUGUUAUCUUGGUGCAUUUUUCCUUUAAUGAGUAUGAAGUGUCUUUUGCUGUGUCUUUUGGUUAAUUUUGGUUUGAAGUCUACUUUUUUAGAUAUUUCGAGUGACUGUACCAGCUUGCUACUUAGGUCUAUUUGCUUCGAAUAUCUUUUUCCAACCCUCUUACUCUGAGCUAAUAUCUAUCCUUGAUUUUAAGUUGUGUUUCUUGUAUGCAGCAGAAAGUUGGAUCUUGUUUUCAAAUCCGUUCUGUUAGUCUAUGGGGUCCACAGGAGGCAUGGACAGGGAGGAAAGAAGGCUUCAGCUGGUGUUCUGUUGCAUGUUCUAGGGACAGACUUGAGGACUGGGUCUGGUAGAACAGAGUGGAGAAUGGUCAUGGGCACCCUACCUAUUCUUCUGGACAAGCAUGACCUGUGGUUGAGUAGAAGGUAUUUACCUAAGUUGUGGGUUGGGACACCAGCAAAUUGUUUUAGUAAAGCCAUUUGAGUCUGGU